GACGUGUCUGCCUGGUUUUCCUGGUGCUCCAUCUGCAAUCAAAAUAGCAAAAUCCAGUGAUGGGGCUCACUUGUCUUGGGAACCACCCAGUUCCAACCAAGGUGAAAUCCUUGAGUAUUCUGUGUACCUGGCAGUAAAAGGGAAAGAUAAGGCAAAUCCACCAGGACAGCUGGCCUUCGUUAGGGUGUA